rnacentral:SRP_RNA from 1 species
GCCGGGCACAGUGGUGGGUGCCUGUAAUCCCAGCUACUCAGGAGGCUGAGGCAGGAGAAUCGCUUGAACCCGGGAAGUGGAGGCUGCAGUGAGCUGAGAUUGUGCCACUGCAUCCCAGCCUGGGUGACAGAGUGAAACUCUGUCUCAA